GUAGAGUAACACGUGGGUGAUCUGCCCUGCACUCUGGGAUAAGCUUGGGAAACUGGGUCUAAUACCGGAUAUGACCACAGCAUGCAUGUGUUGUGGUGGAAAGAUUUAUCGGUGCAGGAUGGGCCCGCGGCCUAUCAGCUUGUUGGUGGGGUAAUGGCCUACCAAGGCGACGACGGGUAGCCGACCUGAGAGGGUGACCGGCCACACUGGGACUGAGACACGGCCCAG
rnacentral:rRNA from 1 species